rnacentral:misc_RNA from 1 species
GAAAUGCGAUAAGUAAUGUGAAUUGCAGAAUUCAGUGAAUCAUCGAAUCUUUGAACGCACAUUGCGCCCGCCAGUAUUCUGGCGGGCAUGCCUGUUCGAGCGUCAUUUCAACCCUCAAGCCCCGGGCUUGGUGUUGGGGAUCGGCGAAGCCUUCCGGCACGCGCCGUCCCCUAAAUCUAGUGGCGGUCUCGCUGCAGCCUCCAUUGCGUAGUAGCUAACACCUCGCAACUGGAACGCGGCGCGGCCAAGCCGUUAAACCCCCAACUUUUUCUGAAUGUUGACCUCGGAUCAGGUAGGAAUACCCGCUGAACUUAAGC